UAGGAUAAAUAGCUGAAAAGGAGAAAUUAAAUUAAUGGUUGGUCAAAUAAAAUUGUACAUAUAUGGUACAGAAGUGCAUUGAGUAGGUUGUGAACUUGUAGUACUCAGCCAAUGAGGAAACAGGGGUGAAAUCACGUGUCGGGCAAUAGGGAAUAUAAG